GGUGAAGUACAGAAAAUAUUGUGGGUUCCAACACAAAGGAUCACAACAAUGAAAGAAUUAAACAGUUUAAAUAUUUGAAUUAACAACAACAACUAAACAUAGCAAACCGAAGGUGUACGACACCAAAAAUCCAAUCACUAACAAGAAUAAGAAGACCAAGCACAAAGUUAUACUUUAAUCUUAUUUAUCUUGUGGCAGGCGUGCCACCCGCUCCCAUUUCAGUUAUCUUGUGGUAGGCGUACCUCCCGCUCCCAUUUUAUCAUAUCUUGUGGUAGCUGUACCACCCACUCCCAUUUUAUUAUAUCUUGUAGUAGGCGUACCACCCCUUCCUAUUUUAUUAUAUGUCGUGGUAGUCGUACCACCCGCUCCCAUUUCAUUAUAUCUCGUCAUCAAUUAUAAAAGAAUGUUGGCCAAGAAAUAAUAAGGAACCAACAACGUCCCGACAAUGAAAUAAUAAGGAAAUAAUAAUAUCCUGGCAAGAGAGUCAGUAACAAGAAUAGACACAUCACGGCAAGGGAACCAACAGUAAGAAUCCAAUAUGUCCCGGCAAGGGCAUCAACUAUAACCAAACUUGUAUCAACAAUUAACUUCACAAUGAAACCCCAACCACACAACAAAACAUAAUAAACAAGUGGGAACUACACCGGCAACCACAACAGUUGAACAUAUAACCUACUUGCACGAAGUCAUAGAGGAACUCACAAUCAAGAAGUAUCCAGACAACAAGAAGGUCAAUCACUUCAAUUAAGGCAAUUAAGGGUUAAUGCAACACAUAUGAAUUCAAGGAAAGCUAGCAACAUCAUUUGGAGCAUAUAGAGACAAUUUAAGCAAUUAUCAAAUUCAAUCAUAACGAAAUACUCUCCACAUUGAACAUAAGGACCUACGAACCCUAGAGAAUAUUUUUCACAAAUAAGUCCGAGCACACACUCUUUACCUCGCAUGAACGAAUUACAAUUAGUAUAGAAGACUUAAUUUCAAAGAGAGAAGUCCCCCACACAAGGUUAGUCAAAAUACUUAGCUCAACUUGACCAACUAAGACCUUGGAUAUAGCUUUUUCUCUACAAUUUGCCUCUACACAGCUCGAAUCAUCGUUAUUGCAAAGCCUAAAAUUGGUUGGUGAAGUAAUGAGCCAGAAAUCCAACACCAACUGUCCAUGGGUUCCUUGAACAUCGUUAGAAGUCCUCAAAUGCUAGUUUUAAACCAACGAAAGCAUUAGAAUCCCAAACCAAGAGUGCACAGGUCUGUUUCUAAAAAAAUCACCAUGAAUUUGUUUUUAACGCAAAGGUUUGUACCUAAUAUAACCUAGAGCGGAAAAAGAGUGGUCAAAUUAUCAAUUAUUUCUUUUGUAUUGACACAUUUGUUUCUGGCUUGUAACAUAUUUUUUUUUAAAAUUCUACAGUGAAGUGAUUCCAACAUAUGAGCAUUUAAAUAGGAAAGCAAGAUCAGAAAUUUGGUUCUUAUUUAAAAGCAAAUUACAUCUUCCACUCUCAUGAACACUAAGUCCACUCCUUAUAGCUUAAACUGGAUAUUCAAUAUGACUAUUAGGCUUAAUAAAAAAAUGUUUCAAGAAAAUGCUCAAAAUCCACUACUGUCAUGACUCCUAAACAGUAGUAUAAAUAAAAAACAUUAACAAAAUUGCAACUAAUAACUCGAGCUAAUGAACAGAACACUAAAGAAAUAAGAAAAAAAUGUGGAACAUACUAAAAUGGUGGAAGUCCUUCGAGCGAAAAAACCCCUAACUCGGUAUGUGAAGUUCUCUAAAGACUGCAAUCUACAAUCCUUUACAAUAAAUUUAGACAAUGAGCCAUUUGAUUAGAUAAGCACAGUAUGAAGGACGAUUGAGGGUUCAAGUAGCAGCGUUAUUGAUUGGCAUAAGGGGGUUGUUUUGGAAAAGUGAGAGAGAUGGAGUCCAUGAUAGCAUAUUCUAAAACUUGUGGAGACCAAUGAACCACACAAGGAAGACAUCAGGAUAAUCCAAAUAUUUUCAGAUUGC
rnacentral:lncRNA from 1 species